ACAGUGCAACUUAAUAACUUUUCCAAGUGACGAAGUUCCCCCUAAUGUGAUAAGUUUGGAUUUAAAUUUGAACAAUGUGACUAUCAUUAAAAAAGAAUUCUUCCAAGGACUCAAGAGUUUGACUAAAUUGCUCCUGGCCUUUAAUUCAAUAUCCUUAAUAGAAGACGGCUCCUUUGCCGAACUUAGCGCACGACAGCAUUGUCUUUAUCAUUUAAUCGCGUAUCAACAUUAGACGGUGGUUUUUUUUUCUGAACAAAGCACUUUAAGAAAUUUGCAUCUUUUCAAAAAUAGCAUAUCAUCAAUAGAGGAUAAUUCCUUUGCCGAACUAAGCGCUUUAGAAAAUUUAGAUUUAAGUGAAAACCGACUUACUGCCCUCCGAAAAGCAAUGUUCUCGUCUUGGAAAGUUUGAAAGAUUUGCACUCAGUUGGGGACCCAAUAACUGAAAUUGAGCCAGAAGCUUUUAAUACAAAGACUAAAAUGUUUAUUACUCUUGAUGAAAAUUUUCUUUGCUGCUCUCGUCUUCAUUAUGAGAAUUUAAGUUACUUAAGUGAACAAAGCACUUAUGAGGGGGAAAUUAAAGGAUACAACACUUUUGAUAGUAAUAAAUGUACCGCUUUGAAGGCUCCGAGUUCUACUAAUCAAACACUCAAGCCACUACGCCGGUGAUCCUACCUCUUUCCUCAACACCCAGGGCAGCGGCAGCAUUUAGAAUUCCUAAUUUUUAUGUAUGGCUAGCGCUAAGCUUAGUCCUUUCCUGCUUAUCUUAAGCUAAUAUAAUAAAUUGCGUGUUUUCACAAAUUCGUUCUUUACCUAGUCUUUCUAUCAGAAUUUUGGUUUGUAGAGGAGUUGUACACGUAACUACCAGACCAGAAAAUGCGAGUUGUGACAG